rnacentral:rRNA from 1 species
AUGGCCAAAGAGAACUGGUUCAUAUGUUUCAACAUGGUCUUCGUCGAUCAGAGGUUUACAGGUUCCAGUUUCAAGGUGAUGGGGGACUUUCAAGGCACUGCCCACAACGGUGAAUGGGCAAUCGUUGGUGGGACCGGAGAGUUUGCAUAUGCACAAGGUGUCAUCGCCUUCAAGAAGACCCAACAAUCCGAGAGAAACGCUAGGAUCGAGCUUCAUGUUCGUGCUAUGUGCCUCUCCUUCUUAAGACCUCUGCUUUCUCUAGGUGACGGGAGCGCCAUCGCCAAGAUCGGCCCUUGGGGUAAAAUAAGUGCGGACUUACUCGACAUCCCCACGACACCACAACGUCUAGAGCGCAUCACCAUCCGCCACGGUGUUGUCAUUGAUUCACUUGCAUUUUCCUUCAUUGACAAAGCUGGUGAACCAUAUAACGUUGGCCCGUGGGGUGGCCCACGUGGGGAUAAGAAAGACACGAUCGAGCUUGCCGCUUCAGAGAUCGUUAGGAAGUCUCUGGGACAGUUGGUGUCUUCGCAGAAGAUAAUGUCGAAUAUAAUGCUAUAG